UACGUAGGUGGCAAGCGUUAUCCGGAUUUACUGGGUGUAAAGGGCAUGUAGGCGGGAAAGCAAGUCAGAUGUGAAAACCAUGGGCUCAACCUGUGGCCUGCAUUUGAAACUGUUUUUCUUGAGUACUGGAGAGGCAGACGGAAUUCCUAGUGUAGCGGUGAAAUGCGUAGAUAUUAGGAGGAACACCAGUGGCGAAGGCGGUCUGCUGGACAGCAACUGACGCUGAGGCGCGAAAGCGUGGGGAGCAAACAGG
rnacentral:rRNA from 1 species